AUAUAGGUCCAUGAUUAGAGCUGUCCUGAGAGUGGUGAGGAGCAGCAAACCGGAUAUAUUUUCCUCUCUCUCUCGACAACUUCGUUUGGACAAGGAUAAUAGGCCUACUCUCAGACGAUUACAGUCUUGUAAGUAGACGUUUCUCGAGAAAGCGUUUCAUUCCCCUUGGAAGUAAGGCCUAGAGGAAUCCGGUGUCAUCAAACAUGGCGCCGAGUUCAGUUCAAAUCAUCGCAGCGGUGGCUCUGAUUGGUUGCCUCUUUCACGGAGCAUGCGCAGUAGACCGUGUUUACUACAUUGCAGCGGUGGAGGAGAAUUGGGAUUACGCCCCCAGCGGUAUGAACAAUAUUACAGGAGCUUUCUUCUCCAAUCUAAAUGCUGACCGCCUAGCAAGAAGGUAGAAGGUCCAAUUUUUAUAAGUCUUUGGUAUGACUCGGCCAGGAAUCGAACACACAACCUCCCGUUCAUGGGGCGGGCGCUUUACCACUGAACCACCAUGCCCGAAGAAAACUUUCAUGUAUUAACACAAGAAAAAGGAAAGUAGGGACGUGACAUCAUCAGCCUACCUAAUGAAUAUUCAUGAUUACGUGCAUAUAACUAUUUUCACUAAAUAUUGCUGUGCUUUAAAAUACUUCGUUAUUUGUUAUCCGAUUUUGAUGAAAUUUUCAGCAUUUUGCUCCCUGAAUUUUAUUCUAUUUCUUAGAUUUAGAUAAAAAUGUUUUCAUUCCAGAGUUCUCCUUUAACAUUUGUUAUCUUGUUUUCAGAUAUGAGAAACGAAUUACUCAGGUUUAUUAUGCACAUUUAACAUUGAUAUCAAAAAGACAUGCUAAACAGACCUAAUGAAAAAGGAUGAUGUAAAAUUUCGUUUAAUCUUCAUGAUUAUUAUAAAUGUGUAUAUAAUUUGCCCAUGUAAUAGAUUACUGAUUAUUUAAUCACAAUUAAUUUAAUGAAUAUGUCAAUUGCAUCCAAUGAAUCAUAACAAAACCUUUUUUUACCACGUGUUAUACAUUUCAAAUUAGUAUGGAGGAAUAUCGUUGUAAAUUUGCUUUUACAACGAUUUUCCUCCACACUUAUAGUUCAAAUCUAGACCUCUAUUAUUAUUUUUAUCAUUUUUUUAAGUUGCAGACAACGUUAUGCAAGCUUAAAGGUAUUGUUUAACUUUGUGAGCAGCCGAUUUAAAAAAUUCUCAAACCAAGAUGAAACAUGUGUACAAGUGCAUGUAUUAGAACUAAUAAACCCUGUAAACAACCAUUAAUGAGAAUGAAAAGCUAAAACUACAAGGCAAACCCCGAUUUUGUAAAAAGGCGUCUUAUAGACACCUAAAUAGUACACAUAAGUGUAUGGGAUGAAAUUAAGAUGGUGUUUUCGGUCACUUUAUAUUUCAAUUUUUGAAGCACUAAAUAAUUAUUUUCGAACGCAAUUUUUUCUGGGCUUCAUUUUUGUAACAUAUCACAGACACAGGUGACAAGUGUGACCUUCUAGCUCAGAUUGUUUUAAAUCAAACCAAUGUUAACCAAUCACUUUAAGGGGUUCUCCAGAUUAAGGAUUAUUUGAGUUGAAGAGAUACAGUUAAAUCAGACAAGCAGAACACUGCAUCAAAAUCGGACGAGUAAUAGCAAAGGGUACACUCUAAAAAAUGAAGUGCUACUUUAACACUUAACAUGCUUAAUUGCUUAAUUAGCACUUUAUUUUUAGCUUGUAUGACACUUUACUGAUGUGGCAUGCAUUCAUCGACUCGUUCAUUGAAUAUAAGGCCUAAUGAGAACAUGCUAGACAUGUUCCACCAAUAUAUUGCAUAAUUUUGAAUUGUCAUUUCGUUGUUGUUCUUCGUCAAACUCUGAUGAAAUGUUCAGUGUUUUGUUGCUCCGAGUUUUUUAAUGAAUGGUAUCUAAUCAAAUCAUUUGAUUUUUCAUUCUGAAGACUGAACUGAUUCUUAAAACCAAAUUUGACAUUGUCUUUCCUUUUGCUUUACGGAAAGAUAUGUACAAAGACUAUGAUGCACACGGCUCUACGUAAAACGAUUUACUGCGAGCUGUGAAACUGAUACUGACUAUGAAAGUGAAACUAUAUCUCUUUCAUGCAGUUAAGUUUCCCUUUAAAAGUGAAUCCCGGUCAAUAAGUAGAGGAUGAUGUUGUCAGAUGACUCAGCCUUACCUAGAACCGGGGAGCAUUUCAUGAAGAGUUUCGUCGGUGAUUUCCACUGGCUUAUUUCCUCUUAGCCAAUCAGAUGCAAGGAUUUCAGUAGCUUGUAACAUUUGUCAGUGGAUAUUAUUGACAAUUUUCUUCAUGAAAUACCCCAUGUAGAUCUUUGAUUUUCCGAUUCUUAAACAGGUGUACAUGAAUCAUUAGUGAUGAGAGAUUAGUGCGAGGAUUAAUCUUUAGAUCGUGCUCUGUCACUCGUGAUGGAUUUAAUGUAGCAAAUGGAGUCAAAGGUUUGGGUCAACAAAAUGAGUUUGUGUAUAUAGCACGAGGCAUGAUAUUCUAUUGAGUGUAGUUUUACAACAUUUUAAAUGGGACUUUAUUAAAUUUAGAUUAUUC